GGAGGGGUGGCAGAGCGGACGAAUGCACCGGUCUUGAAAACCGGCGUACCCUCGCGGGUACCGGGGGUUCGAAUCCCUCCCCCUCCG
rnacentral:tRNA from 2 species